rnacentral:misc_RNA from 1 species
UUCUCUUAGGCAAUGGAAAAUGGUCUGUUGAAGCUCAUGGUAAGAUUAUUAGUGAUUCUAAAGAGAGGUGAUGAAUUAGUUUAACAAUGAAAGGUACUGUAGUUUUAGAGUGGUUGAUAGUUAGGUUUUACUGCGUUCAGUGUAGACGUUUCGAUGGAGGAGAUGUCUAUGGUUGCAGUCCCAUUUGUAUUUGGUAGUUUGAUCUGUCACAAACCAAGCAUAGGAAGUCAUAUGGAUGUAACUAGGAUAAAAUCGAUGGAUGAUGCUACGAACUUGUAUUCUAAUUCAAGGACUAAAACGUUGGCAGACACUGUUUCUGGUGGCAAUGAUGAUUGUAGUUCUGCUGAUUCGGAGAGUGACCUUAGUAUUACAGCAUCAUCUGUGCCUGAAGAGAGCAGAAGUGAAGGGACUAUGUCGCUUGAUGUGAUAUCUGAAAAUGAAAGCAACUGGAUUGCUGGUGAUGCUGUUGUUAGGGAAAGUGAGGAUGAUGAUUCCUUAUCACUGGAGGGUGAUCAAAUUCUCGAUAAUUCGUGUUCCCUGUCAGUGGUGAGCGAUUGUAGUAGUUUAUGCGCUGAUGAUUUUAUAGGCUUUGAGAUAGCGUCUGACAUAGAAGGUCAGGAUUUCGUGGAUUCUCAGAAAAGCAUCAGCCAUGAUGAACUUAUUGGUAAGACUGGGGUUUUGGUUGAGUCAGAUGUUGAGGAUACUUUGAUUAGACCCGCGGCAGUUCCUGAGAGACUUGAGGAGCAGAUCACUGAUAAAGAUUUGAAUGCAACAGUCAGCCGCAGUGUUUUUGAAGUGGACUACAUACCCUUAUGGGGAUAUACAUCUAUCUGUGGAAGGAGACCAGAAAUGGAAGACGCAUUCGCAACUGUUCCUAGAUUCAUGAAAAUUCCUCUACCGAUGUUAAUUGGUGAUCGCGUGCUUGAUGGACUGUCUAGACGCUUGAGUCAUUUGACGACUCAUUU